UCCGGGACGAGGCGCUUGAGAUGACGUUGU
rnacentral:piRNA from 1 species